CGUGAACGCUGGCGGUAGGCCUAACACAUGCAAGUCGAACGGCAGCACAGUAAGAGCUUGCUCUUAUGGGUGGCGAGUGGCGGACGGGUGAGGAAUACAUCGGAAUCUACUUUUUCGUGGGGGAUAACGUAGGGAAACUUACGCUAAUACCGCAUACGACCUACGGGUGAAAGCAGGGGAUCUUCGGACCUUGCGCGAUUGAAUGAGCCGAUGUCGGAUUAGCUAGUUGGCGGGGUAAAGGCCCACCAAGGCGACGAUCCGUAGCUGGUCUGAGAGGAUGAUCAGCCACACUGGAACUGAGACACGGUCCAGACUCCUACGGGAGGCAGCAGUGGGGAAUAUUGGACAAUGGGCGCAAGCCUGAUCCAGCCAUACCGCGUGGGUGAAGAAGGCCUUCGGGUUGUAAAGCCCUUUUGUUGGGAAAGAAAAGCAGCAGGUUAAUACCCCGCUGUUCUGACGGUACCCAAAGAAUAAGCACCGGCUAACUGCGU
rnacentral:rRNA from 1 species